AUCGGAUGUACCGCGCGGAGUGAGCCAGGCCUGCUAUAGGGCUGACUUCGGUAAAAUGAUGUGACGUGAGGUGCCAAUCUGCAGAAAAUGGCGGAGGAAAUACAUGAUUUAGCAUGAAUUAUCAUGAAUAAUAUUAACUACUUAUUUACCUCUCAGUGUCUUCAGGCAACUUAAAAAAGUACAUUCUGUGUUUUUAUUAUUAUUUAGGCAGUUAAAUACUGCACAGUAUUUAGUACACCAUUUUCUUUAUUUUUUUCCAUCAUACACAAGAAUACGCGUGCGUGAGUCAAUGUUCGCUCGUAUGUGAGGCCUUGUCGAAUAGUACUCUUGUAGGGGGCAAUCGUGCGUGUUUUGUUUUCGAUGUAAACUCGCGGAGAUGAACAGGCCUGCUACCACUGCUUCAUUGAACAUUAUGAUUAGCAUUUGAAAAAUGUAAACUUCUAACAAGGUGGUCAGAUGGCCUUAUAAAGGUUGCAGGAAGGCGAAAGGCUAGAUACAGGCAAACUGGCCUAUAUCUGGAAAUCAUUGGGAGGCCUAUGUUCAGCAGUGGACGUCCUGUGGCUGAAAUGUUGAUUCGAGAAAAGUAUGAACUGGUCAUUUUUCUUACUUUAAAGAUGAUGAUAACCAUGGCUUUCGGAUCGCCACCCAGAAAUGUAUUUAACACAUAGAAUUUACCUUUAAAAAUUAGUUAUAGGGAGCUUAACGGUAUUUAUCAAGACAAAAGGUGCUAUUAUGAACAAUUAAGCUGCUAUUAUAAGAUUGGCGAAUGUUUAGUUUAAAUUUACACAUUAAAUUGUGGCAUUUAAGAAUUGUCAAAAAUUAUAACCAGGGUUUGUUGCCGAAUUACCAAAAAAAAAAAAAAAUUCGUCACACUUAUGAAUUAAGAUUGAAAGUAAAUUCGUCACACUUUAAAGUAUUACCUAAGUAAAUCAUACGUCACUCACAAUCGUGACAAAUGUACCAUAUUCCAUAAUUUUUAUUAAAUGUGACCAAUUUUGACAACUUUUUGUGACGAAUCUUUUUGGCAACUCGACAAUAACCCAAAUUCACAGCACUAUUGAAUAGUUGUAGCUUUUGCAAAUAUUCCAAGUAUAAGUUCGACUGAUUUGAGUCAUUUGACACUUGAUAAUUUUAGUAGAUAGAUUGUUUCAUUCACGAAGACGCGUCCCACCAAUGUUUGGUUAAGCGAAGUGCGGGGUGCGAGCAAUUUGAUCCGAGCAAUCCGAGCGGCAUUAUUGUAGUGUGCGUGUGCACUCAUGGAUAAUUUAGCGUGUACCGAUAACACUUCAACAUUAGCGGAAGAAUGGUGGGGCGCGUCUUCGUGGAUGAAACAAUCUAUAGUUAAAAACGUCAGUAAAUUUUAAGAAGCCUUCAAAAUUAAGCUGUUUGCGCCAACUAGAGAGCGCAAUUAAGAAAACUCUUUCACUUUAUGUUAUUGCCAAAAAGUUGAGUGAAUUUAAUUAUAUUAAAAUAGCACGAUAUUGUUCCAAAGAAACAGUUGAUAAAAUAUAAAUCAGUGGCCUUUAAAAUUGAUUAAAAUGUUAGUUUUUAAAUAUUAGCAAAGUUAUUUGUGAACAAAUUCGAAUAAAUAUGUUGAUGAAUAAUGUAUUUAACACUCGUACGAAUUUAUUUUAAAUAUCUUGCACACUUUAUUAUACCUAGGUCUUUACGAAUAGCUAGCAUGUGUGGAUUGGAUGCGGUAGACUAUGAGACGUUCGCUAACGAUUCGCUUUCGUAAUCGCUUCUCUACUAAUUUCAUUAAAUAUACGAUCUUGUCUAUGCGAAUUUGCUAAAAUAUGACAACCCUCUUCCUUAUAAAAAAGACCGAAGAUGUUAUAAUACCGCUUUGGCUCAUAUUUUGUCUCUUUCUGUCAAAUUUUGACUUCACUUAGAUGAAAAGGGGCAAACCUAUUUUUACUUUUGUGUCACUUCUUCAGUCCACAUGCUAGCUUUUCGAAACAUUGUUUUACGCACUAAUAACUAUACUCUUUUAUUUACUGUUAGAUUUGUUAUAUGUUUCAUAAUGAAUUUUAUUAUACCUGUAUGAUUUCAUUGAAAUCAGUAAGAAUACGUUUUAACCUUUCCAAAGAAUGUUGUGAAGACUUCUGUGUACAAAACAUGUUGACAAACCUCUUGACACAUGUGUAACCUUAGCAAUGACAUAAGUGACUAGCUUUCCGCCCGCGGCUUCGCCCGCGUGGGUCCCGUUUUACCUCCUUUUCCCGAAUUUUCUUUGCUAUUAACCUCACGGAGCCCGAGACCUUUCCAGCAAAUGCAAAACCGUGGAAAUCGGUUCGUGCGUUCUGGAGUUAUAGCGUCAGGGAGGAAAACCCGACUUAUUUUUAUAUAGUAGAUAGUUAAAAUGUAUUUUUUACUGAUUUGAAUUAAAAUCAGCUUCGUAUUAAGUAGUAACUUACAGUUAGCAUCUAUCAGCCCGCCCAGACUAGUGGCAAAGCGUGACAGUUGCCUUAUCUUUGGCGUUUUUCUAUGGAGUUAUGGAGAUCAAAGUUACUUUUGUAGGGCCCCAGUUAUGGUGUGCACAGAUUGUUUUUUGAAAGCGUUCGUGAUAGAUGUAGUUAGACAAUUUGGCCUAAGGCCCAGAAGACACGGUGAAAUGCAACUGCAACUUCUAGUUACUUUUAAGUUGCAUUUAAAUUUCUGCCAUAGAUUCUGUUGACAGACCACACAUGACGCGCGCGACCAGUUUGACUGUGUUCUGGGCCUUAGGCUCUGUAGACAAAGUGACAUUCAUGACAGAUUGAACUUCGUCAUCGCUACGUCAGAGACGAAGCGACCGCGACAUUGAACCUGUCAUGAAAGUUUUAUAGAGAGGCCCUUGACUACUUUAUAUUGUUGUUUGGAUGUCUCGAAGUGUUCCGUUGUGAGAAUGUAAAGAUAUGAUCGCUAGUCUUUGUAAAUAAAUAUAAAAUUUGCUUUUAUAAA